CUCAUAAUGUGUGCAUAGUUUCCAUCUGUGUCUGAUGGCAGCAUCUGUCUGUGUUUUGCAUUCAGAUCUUGCUAUCCACACAAACGUCGUGCAGCCAGAGAAUAAGUUGGGAUCAUAGUACUGGUCUAGUGUGGUCUCUUGACCUCAUCUACCACUGGCCAGCCUCCAAAUUCCCACACAAGA
ensembl:snoRNA